rnacentral:rRNA from 1 species
UACGUAGGGUGCGAGCGUUGUCCGGAAUUAUUGGGCGUAAAGAGCUCGUAGGCGGUGUGUCACGUCGUUCGUGAAAACCUGCAGCUUAACUGUGGGCGUGCGGUCGAUACGGGCAUCACUGGAGUUCGGCAGGGGAGACUGGAAUUCCUGGUGUAGCGGUGAAAUGCGUAGAUAUCAAGAGGAACACCUGCGGCGAAGGCGGGUUGCUGGGCCGACACUGACGCUGGAUGCGCGAAAGCUAGGGGAGCGAACGGG